rnacentral:rRNA from 1 species
CCUACGGGAUGCAGCAGUGAGGAAUAUUGGUCAAUGGGCGGGAGCCUGAACCAGCCAAGUCGCGUGAGGGAAGACGGUCCUAUGGAUUGUAAACCUCUUUAGUCGGGGAGCAAUGCCGGGCACGUGUGCCCGGCAGGAGAGUACCCGCAGAAUAAGCAUCGGCUAACUCCUUGCCAGCAGCCGCGGUAAUACGGAGGAUGCGAGCGUUAUCCGGAUUUAUUGGGGUUAAAGGGUUCGUAGGCGGAUUUUUAAGUCAGCGGUAAAAUGUCGGGGCUCAACCCGGGCCGGCCGUUGAAACUGGGGAUCUUGAGUGGGGGAGAAGUAGGCGGAAUGCGUGGUGUAGCGGUGAAAUGCAUAGAUAUCACGAAGAACUCCGAUUGCGAAGGCAGUAUACUGGAGCCCGACUGACGCUGAGGCACGAAAGCGUGGGGAUCGAACAGGAUUAGAUACCCCAGUAGUC